CCAGGGCUGCAGCACCCACAACUUCUUUGGGCAACCUGUGCCUCACUACCCUCACAGUCAGUAUUAUGCUUACCAACUGCAAACAUGGAUGGCAUGGCUAGUUAAUCUUCUUGCCUGGGAGCAGAAGAGGUUAACCUGGGGAGUUUAGAGGUAGCAGUGUGUGUGAAGCCUUAGUUACAUGGCUUGACUCCCUAAUCCAUUGCUGUUAAAAUUUUUCUGGUUAGUUUGUUUGCUUUUCAGCAGAAAUUUAUCAGUUUAUUUACACAGGUAUGUUAAAAUAUUAUUUUGUUUAAUUUAAAACAAACAAACCCAAAAAUACUUCCCCUCGCAAAAAAAAAAAAAAAAAAAAAAAAAAAAAAAGAAAAAAAGGAACUUCCAAACCCUAAAACUAAAAAUCCCUGGGUUUUUUCAGUUGCUUGUUAUGAAAAAGAUUCCCAACAGCACAGCUUCAAGCAGUAGGAAAGUCAUAUUGCCAAUCAACAAGCAAUGCAUGUAAUCAUUAUGGAGCCAUCUACCAGCAUCUCUUUCCUAAAAAGCCCUGUCAAAUUUAGCAUUCUUACAAGAGCCUUGGAACACCAGUGCUUGUCUUGUGUUCUGCUGACCUUUCUUCAAUCCAAAAAUAGCUGUUCUUACCCCACUGAACUUUCUACAAACAGAAAGACAUUUGAUGCCAGUUACAUUUGAAGAAAAUAAACUAUAUUUAAAGCUAUUAGUCAGUAUCACAGAUAGUUCCUGUUGUCCCCCAUACCCCUGGGAUUGUUUGCCCUUUUUAAAUGGAAUAGGUUUGGAUAGAGUAUGUUUCUCUGGCAUGGUUGUUCUGAAGGGGCCUCCCACAGAUGCUAUUUAACAUAUCCUCUGUUAAUUCAAGGGGAGGUCAGUGUAUUUUAUCUGUUCAUCUAGAUGGAGCUGUCAAAGUGGAUUUGGAGCUGGAUUUGAAGAUUGGUUUAAAUUUGUAAAUUUAAAAGUGGAGAAGUAUGCCCACAGGUUUCCAAUAAAAAAAAAGGAGACGUCACUUUUGGUACAUCCUCUGGUCUAAAAGACUCUUGGCAUCAACGAAAUAAAGCUGAAUGGUACAUAGUGUCCCAGCACAGGAUGAAGCUGUGAUAAUUAACUUUUAAAGCUUUAAAACUUCA